UACGUAGGGUGCAAGCGUUGUCCGGAAUUAUUGGGCGUAAAGAGCUCGUAGGCGGCUUGUUGCGUCGACUGUGAAAACCCGCGGCUCAACCGUGUGGCUUGCAGUCGAUACGGGCAGGCUAGAGUUCGGUAGGGGAGACUGGAAUUCCUGGUGUAGCGGUGAAAUGCGCAGAUAUCAGGAGGAACACCGGUGGCGAAGGCGGGUCUCUGGGCCGAUACUGACGCUGAGGAGCGAAAGCGUGGGGAGCGAACAGG
rnacentral:rRNA from 1 species